GAUGAACGCUGGCGGCGUGCCUAAUACAUGCAAGUCGAGCGGUAAGGCCUCUUCGGAGGUACACGAGCGGCGGACGGCUGAGUAACGCGUAGGAACGUACCCCAAAGUGAGGGAUAAGCACCGGAAACGGUGUCUAAUACCGCAUGUGGUCUUCGGAUUAAAGCUUCGGCGCUUUGGGAACGGCCUGCGUAUGAUUAGCUAGUUGGUGAGGUAAAGGCUCACCAAGGCGACGAUCCUUAGCUGGUCUUAGAGGAUGAUCAGCCACACUGGGACUGAGACACGGCCCAGACUCCUACGGGAGGCAGGAGUGGGGAAUAUUGGACAAUGGGCGAAAGCCUGAUCCAGCAAUGCCGCGUGAGUGAUGAAGGCCUUAGGGUUGUAAAGCUCUUUUACCUGGGAUGAUAAUGACAGUACCAGGAGAAUAAGCCCCGGCUAACCCCGUGCCAGCCGCCGCAGUAA
rnacentral:rRNA from 1 species